GUGCUAACUUUCUCUCAUGCCGCACAGAUAGACUACUGCUGUAUUUUUACCAUUUUUCUUUCACCUCAUAUUUGGUGUCAAAUGCUGAUACUAUGUUGGAAUGCAUAAAGGUUCUAACGCCUCACAGGCGUCAAUGGUAUCGGAAGCUCCUUCCCCAGCGGUCUCUAUCUCCUCUCAGCCAAUCCUUGCCAAGGAGAGAGCCAACAAGACACAGUUUUGUCUCAAGAUCCCCUGGACUCCAACUUCCCCGAUUGGCUGCAGAAGGGACCUAGGACUUCAUAAGAGGCAGAGGGAGACGCCUGGAAGGGGAAGAGCACCUCCCAACCUGCUACACCUUGCGAUUCGGAUGUGUUGGACUGUUCGUUUUCAUUGACUCUUUAUGUUGAAAUCCAGCUGUAUUCUUUUUUUGUUAUAUAAUGAACCCCCUGUAUAACACAAGAAAGCGUGGUUUGGGACUUGAGGGAGUUGGGACCUCUUCCAUGUUAUGUUAAGCUCUGGUGUUCCCCCAGCUGGGGCGUAACACUAGACAUCCCCAACACACACACACACACACACAC